rfam:Lentinula edodes NBRC 111202 DNA, contig: scaffold38.
GGUCUAAUAGUGUAGAGGUUAUCACAUGGGAUUUUGACAACGGUACUUCCCAUAACCCAGGUUCGAGUCCUGGUUAGACCU